rnacentral:misc_RNA from 1 species
UGCUAGCACUGAAGAUUGGCCAGCCUAUAUUUGCAAGAGAAUCUGCACCCAGAUUUAAUGUCCAAAGUUUCCCUGAACUACUUGUGGAUUCUACCAGUGUGAAAACGAAAAACAAAGAACAAAAAGCUCUCCUCCAUCCCAUGGAGCAGGACCAUACAACAAUGCUAUUUAACAAGUCAAUAUGUAUAGCCAGCUUGAUAAAAGGAGAAGUGCUACUUCAGGAAAAUAUUAAUAAUGUCACUGAAGCAAAUUCUAUGCUCCCAAAUGCUUGCUUUCAAUCACUUUUCAACAGUGUUCAAUUGAUCUUCUAUAACAGUGGACAACAUAGGUCUACCAUCUGCUGGGCAGGUGGAGAAAUCGUUGAAGGCGGUGAUACCUGGUAGCCAAAACUUUCCCGCAAAAUCAGAUACUAUGAACAAAAUUUCCACGGAAAAUAAAAUUUUCUUUUGUGAAUAUUUUGCAAAUAAAAGAAAUUUGGAAAAAAAAAUAAUAAUAAAGCGAACUGAUUUUGCUUAGGCGG